rnacentral:rRNA from 1 species
GACGAACGCUGGCGGCGUGCUUAACACAUGCAAGUCGAGCGGAAAGGCUCCUUCGGGGGUACUCGAGCGGCGAACGGGUGAGUAACACGUGAGUAAUCUGCCCUGGACUCUGGGAUAGCCACCGGAAACGGUGAUUAAUACCGGAUAUGACACCUCUCCGCAUGGCGGGGUGUGGAAAGGUUUUUCGGUCCAGGAUGUGCUCGCGGCCGAUCAGCUUGUUGGGGAGGUAAUGGCUCACCAAGGCUUUGACGGGUAGCCGGCCUGAGAGGGUGACCGGUCACACUGGGACUGAGACACGGCCCAGACUCCUACGGGAGGCAGCAGUGGGGAAUAUUGGACAAUGGGCGAAAGCCUGAUCCAGCAACGCCGCGUGAGGGAUGACGGCCUUCGGGUUGUAAACCUCUUUCAGUACCGACGAAGCGCCGAUGAUGGUGGUGACGGUAGGUACAGAAGAAGCACCGGCCAACUACGUGCCAGCCGCCGCGGUAACAC